AUGCUGCUGAGGUGCUCAAGAACUUGUCUGCAGUCCUUGCCUAAGCAGGUUUUCCAACCAAACAAAAACAUCUGCAUGCUGACUUCGAACUUAGUAAAGUCUCAUGUAGGCAGUACGCCAAUUCCUAAAUAGCUAAGAAGAUGAGCAAAGCUUACAGAAGACAGAGUUAUAGAGAGACAAAAACUGAAAUACAGAUCCUAGGAAGAAAGACGGGCCUAGGUAAUUACUCCAGGAUUUUAGCUAAGAACCCCUGAAAGGUUAGGCUACUGGUGAAAUAAAGACAUGACAAGAGAAAAACCUAAGGAAUUG
rnacentral:lncRNA from 12 species